rnacentral:sRNA from 1 species
UCCGAUGGAUCCGGUGGAUCCGAAGGAUCCGGUGGAUCCGAUGGAUCGAAAGGAUCCGGUGGAUCCGAUGGAUCCAGGGGAUCCGAUGGAUCCAAAGGAUCCGAUGGAUCCAAAGGAUCCGAUGGAUCCAAAGGAUCCGAUGGAUCCAAAGGAUUAAAAGGAUCCGAUGGAUCCAAAGGAUCCGAUGGAUCGAAAGGAUCCGAUGGAUCCAAAGGA